rnacentral:rRNA from 1 species
AUUGAACGCUGGCGGCAGGCCUAACACAUGCAAGUCGAGCGGUAACAGGGGUAGCUUGCUACCCGCUGACGAGCGGCGGACGGGUGAGUAACGCGUGAGAAUCUGCCCAUCAGUGGGGGAUAACCCGGGGAAACUCGGGCUAAUACCGCAUACGUCCUACGGGACAAAGCAGGGGACCUUUUGGCCUUGCGCUGAUGGAUGAGCUCGCGUCGGAUUAGCUUGUUGGUGAGGUAAAGGCUCACCAAGGCGACGAUCCGUAGCUGGUCUGAGAGGAUGAUCAGCCACACCGGGACUGAGACACGGCCCGGACUCCUACGGGAGGCAGCAGUGGGGAAUCUUGGACAAUGGGGGCAACCCUGAUCCAGCCAUGCCGCGUGUGUGAAGAAGGCCUUCGGGUUGUAAAGCACUUUCAGUAGGGAGGAAGGCUUUCGGUUAAUACCCGGGAGUACUUGACGUUACCUACAGAAGAAGCACCGGCUAAUUUCGUGCCAGCCGCCGCCGUAACAC